UUAAAUGAAAAAAAAAUGCUUAAUACAUAAAGCAAAAAGGGGCAUACACACAGACAGACACGCACACACCUAAAGUUAGUGAAUACAAGUAUCUUUUUCUUUCUCUCUGAAAACAGAGUCGUGUCGUGUGUGUCACGUCCCCCACGUGAAUUCAGGGACCAGACUUGGGUCUUCUGCAGCCAUUUCUCUCACCCCAAGUUUUUGUUUGUUGUUUUCCAAAACAGGGUUUCACGAUGUAGCGCUGGCUGUCCUAUAUAGACCAGGCUGGACUCCAACCUGGAGCUCUACCUGCCUCCCAAGUGCUGGGAUUAAAGGUGCCACCCAGCUCCCAAGACUAGUUCUAUUCUUAUCUAUUGGGAUUUAUAGAACUAUGUAACAGGGACUGGAGAGAUGGUCAGAAGUUGAGAGCACUGCCUGCUCUUCCAGAGGACCUGGGUUCAAUUCCCACCACCCACAUGCUAGUUCACAGCUGUUGGUAGUUCCAGCUCCAGGGGAUCCAACACCCUCACACAGACGUGCAAAACACCAAUGCAUAUAAAAUAAAAAUACAUAAAUCAUUAAAAGGGUUCCCUCACACAAACCUCUUACCCUUUCGAGGUUCAUUUAUCCCUCACAACAACCAAACAUGACCGGUACUUUUAUUCUUUCCACUUUACUACCACUGAAAUAAUCUUUCAGAAACCCAAUUUUUCAUCAUCAAAAUAUAGUAUCUAUUAUAGUGUAUAGUAUGAACUAAGUAGAUACUGUACAAGGAUAGAGAGAUACGAGUGCUCACCUUUAAACCCAAUUUCCUCUUGUAGGCUUCCAAGCUACCCCUGCAUUUCCCUCAUUUGACAAUUGUAAAGAUCAGUUAAGAUCAACUGCUCCCACAUUGAUGGCGUUGGUGUUACCUUCCAACACUACUGACAGCCAGCAGCAACUUAACUGUUAAACAGAAUGAUAAUUUCCAUUUUUUUAAAAAUAGGGUCUCAUGUAGUCCAGGCUGGUACUGAACUCAACAUGUAGCUGAGGAUGACCUUAAACCCUAGAUCCUCCUACCUCUGUCUCUCGAGUGCUGGGAUUAUACGCAUGGCUCAUGCCCUGGCUGCAUUUUAUUUUUUUUAAAUAUUUAUUUAUUUAUUAUGUAUACAAUAUUCUGUCUGUGUGUAUCUCCAGGGCAUCAGAACUCACUACAGAUGGUUGUGAGCCACCAUGUGGUUGCUGGGAAUUGAACUCAGGACCUUUGGAAGGGCAGGCUAUGCUCUUAACCACUGAGCCAUCCCUCCAGCCCCCCCCCCCCCAGCUGCAUUUUAAACAGUGUAAAUAUCUGCACAAUGGUGUUCUGGUCAAUGUGACAGACAGGAUAUACAAUGGUAUAGACCCAUAGUCUAGGUCUGCAGCAAGCUAUUCUAUCUGGCCUUGUAUAAGCAAACUCUACAGUGUUUGCAGAGCAACGAGACGGCCUAACAAAGGGAUUCUCAGAAUGUAUCCCCAUUACUAGACAGCAUGCAAAGUUCAAAUCUAAGCCACGAACGAAGAGUUAUACAUAACUUUAAGUCUCACAAAUAUCAGGGCAGUUUUUAGAAACUAUUUUUGAGCUUUUAUUAUUUUUAUACAUACAGUCUGCCUUCAUGUAAAGUCUGUGCACAUGUGUGCAGCACCCAUGGAGACCAGAAGAGGAUGCUGGGUCCUCUGAGAAAGUUACAGACCAAUGUCCAUCUCCAUAUACUCCUGGGAAUUGAACCCAGGUCCUCUAGAAGAAUCAGCCAGUGAUGUUAACCACUAAGCCAUCUUUCCGGCCCCUUAGGGCAACUUUAAAAAAAUAUUUUAUUAUUUUUUAAAAAUUCUGUGCCAGGGUGUUCUGCCUGAUGCAGUUGGUGUGGCACAUAUGGGCAGUCCUCUGGGACUGGAGUUACGCAGGGUUGUGAGCUGCCAUGUGGGUGCUCGCAAUCCAGUUCAGGUUAUCUGGAAGAGCAGUCAGGGCUUCUUAGCUGGAGAAGUGAGUCAUUUCUCCAGCUCCAAUUAUGAUAAUGAUGGUGACGAUGAUGUACAUCUAAAAGUGCAGGUGAGUGUGUGGAAGUGAGAGGCUAUUUGGAAAUGCUUUCUCUCCUUCCACCGUGGGAUCAGCAUCAAACUCAGUUGUCAGGCUUGCAUGGCAGGCACUGUUACCCCCUGAGCUAUCUCACCCGCCCAUGGCAACUCUUUGAUCUAAUGUUUUAUUGCAUCUCUACAACUGCCCUAUGAGAUAGGCACUCCCUGUGUAUUAAAUAAUUCAAGGCUGUUCCGAGGGAGGUGCAUAUAACCUUGUCCUUGGCUCCUGCGACGUCCUGUCUGAUAUUUACUAUCAUAGGUCACACCAGAUGAUCUAACUAUGAGUUACGAUGGGAGGCUUUUGGUCGUAAGUUAUCAGCUUGACUUCUAACAGGGCUGCGCACCGAGGUCGGACAUGUGGAGAGCUAGGUAUACCUAUGCAAUAAAGCCCUCAUUCCCUGGCUGGCAGUACUCUGCACACUGUGACACAUCACUGCUAGGAGCUGACACGGUCCAUGACUUCACUGGGACAGACAACUGAAGCUGUGUUCAGGGAGAACCACAGCCAUCAUCAGUGAGUUGGAAUCCCAGCCCCAGGGACACCUAAAGGUACAGCUGGUGUGAGAAGUGAGGACAGCAUGGGGAGUUCCCCUUCGGCAGCGCCACUGCUUCAGAGGGACUGACAAUUAGCUGUCUCAGUUAGGGCUCUUACUGUGAUAAACACCACGGACAAAAGCAACUUAGGGAAGAAAGGGAAGUCAGGGCAGGAACUCCAGCCCAGACCAUGGAGGGGUGCUGCUUAGUGGCUUCCUCCUCCUAACCGCUCAGUCCGCUUUCUUAUACAACCCAGGACCACCCACAGGGAGCUGGGCCUCCCAACACUUCACAGACUGGACUACUGUCCACACUGGGUCCUGGUUUGUGUCAAGCUGAUAGAAACCAAGCCGCACUCCAGCCGUGUCAGCUGUCUACAAAGGAACUCGGGCUUUGGGCUUUCUCUUCAGACGGUGUUUCUCUGCCAUCAACCUGAAACAUGCGCCCAGUGUACCGAUGUUUGGGUUAGCACAGCUCUGAAGUACUCCAGCUUCAUGGUGCUGACUCUCAACAUCAUCUUCUCCUCCCCGUAACUUAGUUUGAUACCUGACUGCAGUUAUAUGGAAAGUUACACAGAGAACAGACAGACAGAACGUGGUCACUACUGGUCACUCCCCUCCUUUUGUUUUCUUUAUUUUUUCUGGCUGCUGCUGCAGCGGCCUUGUCUUAGUUAGGAUUACAAUUUUGAUGACAAAACAUCAGGACCAAAAGCAAGUUGGGGAGGAAAGGUUUUAUUUGGCUUACACAGCAUACUGAGGGCCCUAAAGGUGGGCACUCACACAGAGCAGGAGCUCAGGCAGAGACCAUUGAGGGGGGCUGCCCACUGGCUUGCUCGGCCUGCUUUCUUACAGAACCCAGGACGACUUUCUGAUAGAAGCCCAGGGAUGAAUGUGGAAUAUUAGAUCACACCGUGACACUCAGAUUGUUAAUAAAAUUACCUUGAAUCCGGGGCAGAGCCAGCAACCACCUGACAGAAAGCAGCCAUAGAGAAGCCAGGAAUUCAAUAGAGAAGACCAAAGCAAAGGAAAGGGAGGGACUAAGAGUUUGGCGCUUUUUUUGGUUUUGGGAUGAGUGAAGAGGCUUGUCUUGUGGUGUCUCUGGCCAAGGUCAGCUGGUUGCUUCUCAGCUUCUGUGACUUAGCAGAUUUUCACUCCCCACAUCUGACUUCCAAGUCUUCAUUGGUAAAUAGAACAACAGACUUAGCUUAAACCUACACAGCCUAACCGGUUCUGCUGUGGCAGUGGGACCAGAAGGCCUUCUAGGCUGCAGCCUGAGUGGUGGGUGGGGCAUUGACUGGGGGGCAGUGGGGCCCGGAGACGAUAAUUAAAAUAUCAAUAGUAUUAUAUUCAGUCACUAAGACAACAGGAAAACUACAAGGAAUGGCGCCACCCCGAGUGGAAUGGGCCCUCCCCACCAACCACUAAGAAAAUGCUGCAGAAUGCCUACAUCUGAUCUUGUGGAGGCUCCCUCUCUCAGAUGAAACUAAAAUUAGGCAGCACAGGUAUAAGCCCAGGUUCUCAUGCAUAUUAUGAGCCUCAGUUCAGACUCCACCCCUGAGAAAGCCCCUCAAUAAUAACCCCUCCCCAGAGAAGCUCAAGACCACUACAGCAGGGUGCUUAAACUGCCCCCUGGAGAACAAACGUGGUUUCCUGGUUUCCGGUCAAACCUGGGCUUUUUCUAAUUUGGUCCGAUUUUGUCUAAUUUGGAUUACUGACUGUAAUCUCGGAGAAGCUUAUCAGGGUGCAGAAACUUCAAAAAGUAUUAAAUCUUAUUUCAAGAUUUCGUAAAUAUUAGUAGUCUGAAGGCAUAGAUAAGUUCCACCAGCUGAUCAUUUAUGCAAACUCACUAACGAGUAACAUUUAAAAAAAUAAUCUGUCAACUCUAUCAUGCUGAAAGUUAACCCAGAAUAUCCUACGCUAAACAUUUUUGAGGCUUAAUUAGAGUUCUUCAAGAAGGUAGAACUAAACGCAAGGAUUAGCUUAAGGAGCUUGAUUAGUGGAAAAGAGUUGCUGGGGGCAGCACCAGUCUCAGCUGGGCCGGCAGUCAGUCUGACCCCCAAAUGAAGGGGAGAGGCAGGGGCAGGGGGAGGGAUAGGAGAGGAGGCUGAUGGGUGAGGAUGCGAUUACUAACAGGCUAAUUACUAAUCAGAAUGUGCUACAGAGUAAGCAGGGGACUGAGGAAGCAUCUGAGUUCUUCACAAGUUUGGUUUUUGCCACAACUCAUGUUUUAGGUAUGUACUGUCUUUUUCCUAAGCACUCCUUCCUUAAUGCUUGUGUUUAAAUCUCUAUUGAAAGUGUCUGUGCACACGCGCGGAUGUGUGUGGAAGUCGGAGGCCAAUGGUGGGUGUCACUAUGUGUGGAGAGCUCACUGACUAGCCAAGGAGCUCCAGGGAUCCCUGCUACCGUGCCUCCCCAGCACUGGGAUCUUAGGUGCACUUAUGUGUCCGCCAUUUAUGUGGGGUCUGGACCAUGACCAAGCACUUUACUGAGUCAUUCCCAGACCUAAAACUGUUUGUUAAGAAACCCAACUUUGAGCCCAGCAUGGUGAGAUCCUGUCUCAAACCACCACUAGCAACCCAACUUUGUUUACAUACAUACUCUCUCUCUCUCACACACCCCACAUUCUUUAGAGUUUUACUAUGUUUAUAGCCCUGGCUGGCCUUGAAUUUAUGAUUCUCUUGCCUCUGUCUCCUAAGUGCUGGGAGUUUUAGGUAUUUUAGGGCUGGGGACAUAAUUCAGUGAGAGUAAUUGUCUAGCUGUUCAAGGUACUGGGUUCAAUCCCCUGAAGCACAAAAAUAAAAUAUACUUCAUAUAACUAUAUGGCACCUAUAAAAACUAAACAUACACAUCAGUUGAAAAGUGAGCAAAGGUAUCAAGACCGGCAGUCUGAAGAAAACAGCCCUUCCUUCCUCUUGCUUUCUGAGACAAGCACCUCUGCUUCCUCACCGCCCACUCGCUCUCCAGCCCACAGAAAGCUGGCCAUCCAUCUCCGCCACAGCGGCCACGUCAAGGCGACAAACUCGGGAAGGCUUCCAGGCCCUUUUCCUGUACUUCCACUGUUCAAGCUUCCUUCCGGGACUGGCCCUCUGCAUUUUCUUCUUCUUUCAUCCUCACUCACUUGGCAUCCAGGUUUCUCAUGCCCUGCCGUUUCUGACAAGGGUUCACCAUGCAUCCAAGGCUGAUAGGGUUUCUCCUUCUGCCUCCCCAGUGCUGGAAUUACGGCAUGUACCACCACACCUGGCUCUUAUGAAGAAUAUUUUUAUAACCUGCAAGCCAGUUUCUGCCUCUCAGUUGCAUCAAAAUUCCCCUCCAUGGCUUAAAGCUCUUUCCUUGAAUGAUCUCAUCGACUCUCACUGUUCUGGCUCCAAGGCCUCCACCUCCAGGCUUGUGCUCCACCUUUGUGCUUUAGAUUCACAUCCGACUGCCGAGGAAUCACGCCCAUUCGGCCAUUCCACAGACACCGCAAAACCAACAAGCUGAAAACUGAAUCCAUUGUCCUCCCUCUCAACUUUCCCAGCCCACUCACCCUGCCUGGAAGCCAAGUCGUCCUCCACAAACCCCUCCCGCCUCUCAGAUAGUUCUCAGGUGUGCACAUCCUCCUCAUUCACGUAGACUUGUCCCAGCUGUCCUGCCUCUCCAGUGCGGGCAUCAAAAGCAUGCACUACCAUCGACUUUUUUAAAAACAUUUUUUAAAUUUGUGUGUGCCAACAUAUGCACGGGUGUCAGCUGACAAUGUUUGAAAGCCGGUUUCCUCUCACCACAUGGGCUUGGCUUCUGAGAUCAAACACAGGCUGCCAGGCUUGGCAGAAACAGCCGUCACGCACUGAGACAAUUCUUCAGCUCCAUGUAUACAUAUUUUACACACAUGCUUACUUUUUUUCCAGGAGAAGAGGAGUCGCCCUGAACUGAACGAAACUGCCUGCCUUCCCAAUGAUGUAACUGAAGACCGGACAUUAAAUGAUCCCAGGUCAGCUGUGCUCACAACCCACUGGAGACAAACGUGGGCUUCUGAGCAGCGAUUCUCCUCUACAUUCGCUCACAGAAGAGCAGAACUGGAGUAGAGAAACUACAUGGGCAGCAGGACUGCACGGAUUUCUCUGUAGCUUUGAACUAGCUCUUGUAUGGCCUCGAACUCACAGAGAGAUCCACCUACCUCUGCUGGGAUUAAUGGCUUGUGCCACCACCACCACCCGGCCAGCAGUAACUUCUAUUAGCCACGAUUGAACAGAGAAACCUUUAUGCUCAAAGUGGUGUUUGUGUGUGUGUGUGUGUGUUGUGUGUGCACGUGGGGGGGGGGCCCACCUAACCCAACACUCUACCUCUAGACUACAGUUACAGAUGAGACUAUUCACAGAAAACAUUGCCCAGAAUGUAAAUUACCACCUUUAAUAAAAACAAGACCCAUUUUCUCUUCAAACAUUUUACUAUUUCUCUACAUUCCUAAUGUAGUGAACUAAGUGGUGUUUGUGCUCUCGGGUCACACCACAGGCUGGGGUGCAGGAAGCCGGUGUCACAAGUGAUGCAAAUGUCUGAUAUCCAAGUCAGAGCAAGGGAACGUAUCAUUAACCAGCGGAACUCUGUGAGUUUCAUUCUGCCUGUAAGGCUUCCCCAGGCUUGGAAAGAUGCUCAGAGCACAUGCUGCCUAUGGCUUCCAAGCUCCCUUUGAUGCUUUCCCAAGUCUUUGUUAUCACCAUAUGGCCAAUAAACACGGCUCUCCCAGAAGCUGGUCAUGUAUCAGUCAUCUAUGAAGUUUAUAAAAAACGAUGCCUGGGUCUUCGUCAAGCCUACCAGUAGGGGAAUGUUGGUGUGGAGGCCAAGAAUUUAAAUGUACCAAGUAGGAGUUGGAGAGCUGGUUCACUGGCUGGAGUACCUGCAGAGGACCAGGAUUUGAUUCCUAGCAUUUACGUGGAGGCUCAAAACUAUCUGUGACUCUAGUCCCUGGGGAUCUGACACCCUCUUCUGACCUCCAGAGGUAUCAGGCAUGCACACGGUGCACAGAUAUACAUGCAGGCAAACACUCAUAAUCAUGAGAUAAUAAAAUAAAUAAAAAUUUAAAAAAUGCACUAGGUGUUUCCAAUGUUCAGCUAAGGCUGAAACCACUCAGCCCACUCUGGCCGUAUAAAUGUCCAGUUUUCCCUGGCUUUUCAAAGUUGAUGGUCAUUAUGGGAAAAUGGAGAUGCAGAGGCCUAGAUUCUAACUCCAGUUCUGACAUGAGCAGCUGUUUGACCUUUGGCUAGUCUAGCCAUCCCAGAUCCCAUUUUCCUCAUCCAUCUAAGAGGUGACUCAUGAGCUACCUUGGAAGAUGGCUCAGUUGGUGCUUAGCCUUUGAGCAUGAGGACCUGAGUUUGAGCCUAUCUGAAUCUGGUGAUGCAUGUGGGCCAGGGGUCGAUGAUGUCUUAAAAUGAAGGUGAACACACCUGAGAAAUGACACCAGAGAUUGUCCUCUGGUCUGCACAUGCAUGCGCACACAUAUACACAUAUCCAAUAACUGGCUCGUAGCCAAUAACUGGCAGCCAGCAAAUUACAUGCAGUGUGUAGGAAGGUUUGGUUAGUACCCUCCAAGAUGGCCUUUAAAAUGUCUCUUCAAAAAUUAGCUUUACUUAGAAACCGAAUUUCAAACAUCUUGAACAACUGCAGAAUGAAGAACUAGACUAGACCCCGUCCCUACACCCUAACCCCACCCCCAUGUUCAUGCUACCUGCAUGGAUCCCAAUGGCACCGAACUUCCUUCCCUCCCUUGCCAAGGGGGUAGUUAGGCUCAACAGCUGUCACCGUGAAGUGACCAAUGUAAACACAGAGCGUUAGGAAAUGACGGUGGAUGACUGCCUCGAGAGACACUGCACCCCCUGCUGGCUCUGUUGAGUCAGAAUGUAGAUGCUUGCACCAGGAAGUGGGGAGCUAGGCCUCCUACCAACAGCCAGAAGCAACUGGCCAGUCGCUGAGUCAACCUACUAAAGAAGACAAUCCUCCUUCAGAUAAGGACAAUCUCACAAGACUAAAGUGUUUGGAGAUUUUUGGCUUUUAACACCCCUCUAAUCCCAAUAUUCUGGACAGAGGCAGGCAGAUAUCUUUAAAUUCAAGGUCAACCUGGUCUACAAAGUUAAGUUCCAGGACAGUCAGGGCUAUAAAGACCCUGUCUAAAAAAUAAAAAUAAAAAAUAAAAAAAUCCAAAAACCCAAAAAGAACAACAAACAAUCAAACAAACAAAAACCCCCAGGUAUUGCCUUACAAAACAAAAUUGAGGGCAAUUUGUUAUAUAUCAACAGAAAAGCAGUAAUGCCACUGUUACGUGAUUUCUUUAAUAGUGAGGCGAGGAAACAUCUUCAUUUUGAGAUUAGAGCCACAGAAUUCUAGAAGGUUCAAAUGGAUCCGUCAGGUGACUAGGGAAUUUUCUUUCUGGUUAAGAAAAUGCGACUGUGACAGAAUUCCCCCAGUUCGGUAGGUUCUCUCAAACACAAGGCUCUUUUCCCUGCCCCACCACCCUAUUCCUGUGCCUCUACUGCUUUGCAGGUUUUUCUUGCUUUCUAAUUGCAGCUUUCUUCAAAGUUCCAUCCUUAAAUGUGCGUACAGGCUGGCUGAGAAGCGUGUAUCACAGAGGCUCCACUCAAGCUGGGCGUGGGGCUUCACGUCUUUCCUCCCAGCACUCUCCAGGCCAAGGCAAGAGGACUGCCACAAGUUCGAGGCUAGCCCAAGCUACACAAUGAGCCCCAAGCCAGCCUGGUUACAGAAUGAGGUUCUGUCUAAAAAAACCGAACCAAACAACAGAAACCAUAAAAUUGAAAAAUAAAAGUUAUCACUCAGUGUGAGUCAAUUAGGGAGGAAAGGGUGGAAACUGGCUUCGUGGGCAAAGGGAUCAUAAAGGGUUCAAAUUUUAGGGGCUGGAAUCAAGAGUGCAAACUGCUCGGAGAAGACCACAACCACCUGUAACCCCAGCUCCAGGGGAUCCACUGCCUCUGGCCUCUGGGAUCAGUACUCAGUCUUUUACAUGCAGACACCCCACACACAUAACUAAACAUAAACCUUCACAGAAGACUUCUCGUUCUAGCCCAACUACACUAGGAUGGCAGCUGCCCAAGGUGGGGGUUGUGAGUCUUGUUGGCAAGGACAGUGUAGGCAGAGUCGCAGCAGGAGAAACCGAGCGUAAAAGCAGAGUGGCUCCAGGGUUUAACACUCUGAUCUUUUCACAUUCAGUUUCAUCUUUUCCAAGGUCGGUCGGAAUCUAGAAAUUUCAUAGGGCUUCCCUUGAUGAGCUACUGUUUGUUCUGAGGAUCACAUGACUAGACACAAACAGUUUGAAAGCAGCAAUCAGAAAGAGAAUUCAGUAUGCAGUCAAAUUAAGAUGCUUUACAAAAUUAACUUAAUGUACCUAAUGAUACAUAAUUGUUUUUAUGGCUACAUACGUAGGUUUUUAAGUUCCAUAAUUAUCUUUCUUUUAAAGAGUCAAACAGAGCUUUUACAUCUAACACCAGGCGCACUUGCCCCAUACACCACAGCGCCCUCUCCUCUUCCUUACAGGUGUUCUGGGUGUCCCGGCAGUUCCCUAUUCUCUGACAUCUCUAUCACUUCUAAAGUGCGCAAAUCUGACCUUUUGUAACUGUGUACUCCCAUGUAACAACCCAAGUCAGUUACAAAUGUUAAACAUCACUCCAGAAAGUUUCCCCGAAGUCACUACCCAGGCAAAUCUUGUUUGGAUUUCUUUCCUGAGACAAGUUUUAACUACACUGCCCAAGCUGACUGAAGCUCAGGACCUCCUGCCUCAGCUUCCAGGGGCCACGAUAGAGGUUAUCAGAGACCAUCUGAACUUGAUCUACUCUUGUUUGAGUGUCUUUUAAACCAAAAAGCAAAUGUAUAUACUUGUGUAGGCCUGGUUUCUUUCUUUUGUUCCUUUUUUUAUUUUAUAUUUAUUCACUUUUUAAAAUUUUAUGUGCAUUGGUGUUUUGCCUGCAUGAAUGUCUGUUAGGAUGCCAGAUUCCUUGGAACUGGAAUUACAGACAGUUGUGAGUUGCCACAGUUGUGGGUGCUGGGAAUUGAACCCCGGGUCCCGGAAGAGCAGCUAGUGCUCUUAACUGCUGAGCCAUCUCCCCAGGCCAGCCUGGAGUCUUUUAAUGUAAUAUUUUUGAGACUGAACCACUGUGUUGAGUUUAUGAAUGGCCUUCCUCCUCCUCUUUUAAAAACCAUUUUUGAGUGUGUGGGAUCAAACCAGGACCUCCAACAUAUCAGGCAAGUGCUACACGCUCAGUCCUUUAUUCUUUUCUACUCACUAGUAGAAUUACACUGAAAAUUACAACUUACAAAUAUUCUUAAGUUUUUACUUACAAAGGCUUUUUACAGUCUUUUGUCUUUCUUCUUGGAUUAUAAAGUCUAGAAGACUGCCUUGCACCUGGCAGGUGCCAAACAGGUAAGCAAGUCUUUCCAUCAAAAACAAAUUGCAUACACAAGUGUUCACGGUAUGGCAGGUGUUAGAGCCGAGUGAGCACUCCUGAAGUAAGGCUUUUUUCUAAGUCAGCACACACUUAG